rnacentral:lncRNA from 1 species
UUAGUUUUACUUUCUUUCUUUUUUCUUUCUUUUUUACUACCUGCUGAUGGAUUCGAUGAAGCGGCUCAACGAUCUCUCUCUCUUUCUGCGGCUCGGCGAUUUCUCCUUCUUUCCGCGGCUUGAGUGAUAUCUCCUCCUUUCCUCGGCUCGGCAAUGUAUCCUCCUUUCAGCAGCUCGGCAAUAUCUCCUCCUUUGAAUAUUUUGAACUUGGAAGUGUGUAGCAAUCUAUCUAUCGUGUCGUCUCUCUCCAAAAAAUUUCUCCCCGAAUUUGAUUUCGGUUCCCAUAUUUAUAAUGGGAAGGGAGGAGUUAGUUAAGAAUUCAAAAUUCGAAAUUCGAAUUUUGAAUUAUUUGUUGGAUGGUUGGAGGAUAUUUGGGGGGUGGUUGGGAGUUCAAAAUUCGAAUUCGAAAUCGAAUGAGUUGUUGGAUAGUUGGAAGAUAUUUUGGGAGUUGGUUAGGGAAUUCAAAAUUCGAAAUCGAAUUUUGAAUGGGUUGUUGAAUGAUAUUUUGGGAAUUUGGUUGGGAAUUCGAAAUUCGAAAUCGAAUUUCGAAUAGGUUGUUGGAUGAUGUUUUGGGAAAUGGCUGAAAAUUCGAAAUUCGAAAUCGAAUUUUGAAUGGGUUGUUGGAUGAUGUUUUGAGAAUUGGUUGAGAAUUCGAAAUUCGAAAUCGAAUUUCGAAUGGGUUGUUGGAGGAUGUUUUGGGAAUUGGUUGAGAAUUCGAAAUUCGAAUCGAAUUUCGAAUGUGUUGUUGGAUGAUAUUUUGGGAAUUUCAAAUUCGAAUUUUGAAUGGAUUAUUGGAGGAUAUUUUGGUAAUUUGUUGGGGGUUCAAAAUUCAAAAUUCGAAUUUUGAAUGGAUUAUUAGAUGGUAUUUUGGGAAUUCAAAAUUCGAAAUUCGAAUUUUGAAUGGAUUAUUAUUUGAAAUCGGAUUUCGACUAGAAACUUUAUAAGGUGUGGGUGUGGGCCGUCGUUGAUCAGACCCACCUUAAUUUAUUGGGUUCAAAUGAUAAUGAGCUGAAAUAAAGGCCCACCCUCACUUUUUUUUUUUAUUUUUUUUUAUUUUUUUAUUUAUUUGUUUGGGCUUUCGUAAUGGCUCACCCACUCACAUUUUUUUUUUAUUUGUUUGGGCUUUCGUAAGGGCCCACCCACUCACAUUUUUAAAUGGGCUUAUUGUAUAUUAUAAUUAUUGAUCCGAGAAAAUUAAUGAUUAAUACGAGACCUAUUAGAAUUGUAUGAACUCGAAUCUAAUCAUUUUUUUAUUAGGAUUAGGAUUGUUUCAACCUAUAUAUAUAUGUAUGACAAGUAUUAUUUUACCUCAAACAACCGGUCCCUCUGGACGGAAACUGCCCAGUCCGGGCUGAUGUAAAUUGGACUUUUUGAGGGGCCUAG